GACUGGGGUGAAGUCGUAACAAGGUAGCCGUAGAGAACCUGCGGCUGGAUCACCUCCUUUCUAAGGAUAAUCGGAAAGCGACAGGGACUUAAGUGUCAAUUUGUUUGUUUCAAAGUUUUGUUUAGUUUUGAGUGUGAUACUUUAAUAGGUAUCAUGGUCUCAAAGUGAUCCUAUGGGGAAUUAGCUCAGCUGGGAGAGCACCUGCUUUGCAAGCAGGGGGUCAGCGGUUCGAUCCCGCUAUUCUCCAUAGCUAGUCGAAGGCUAGCAUGUUGUACAUUGAAAACUGAAUAGUAACAAAUUCUUUUAAAAGCAAUCGUAAGAUUGCACUAAAAUGAACCGAGAAACAACACAAAAAGUUCUUUAAAAAGAACGGUUUAAUCGCAGGUCUGAAAAAUGACCAACUCAUAAACUUAAACCACAACUUCGGUUGUAUAGGUUAAGUUAAUAAGGGCGCGUGGUGAAUGCCUUGGCACUAGGAGCCGAU
rnacentral:rRNA from 1 species